rnacentral:rRNA from 1 species
AAAAAGGAGGAAUUUAUAUUCCCCCCCAAAAAUUUUUUUUUUAGGAGGGAUAUUUUUUUAAAUUUCUUAAAAAUUUCCGGGGGGUUAAAAGAAGGGGCCUGGCGGGGACAUUUAUUUUUUUGGGGGAGGUAAAAGGUUUCCCCAGGUUUUGGAUUUUUGGGGGUUUGGGGAGGAGAUUCCCCCCCAUUGUACUGAGACACGGACCAGACUCUUACGGGAGCNAGCAGUAAGGAUUAUUGGCAAUUGGCGAAAGCCUGACCCAGCCAUGCCGCGUGCAGGAUGACAGCUCUAGUAGUGUNAAACUGCUUUUAUACGGGAAGAAAAGCACCUACGUGUAGGUGUCUGACGGUACCGUAGAUAAAAGGACCGGCUAACUCGNUGCCAGCAGCGCGGNUAAUACGGAGGGUCCAAGCGUUAUCCGGAUUCAUUGGGUUUAAAGGGUGUGUAGGCGGAAAGGUCAGUCAGUGGUGAAAUCCUGCAGCUUAACUGUAGAACUGCCAUUGAUACUUCCUUUCUUGAGUCUAGAUGAAGUGAGCGGAAUGUGUCAUGUAGCGGUGAAAUGCAUAGAUAUGACACAGAACACCGAUUGCGAAGGCAGCUCGCUAAGCUAGUACUGACGCUGAGGCACGAAAGCGUGGGUAGCGAACAGGAUUAGAUACCCUGGUAGUCCACGCCGUAAACGAUGAUUACUCGAUGUUGGCGAUAUAAUGUCAGCGUCCAAGCGAAAGUGUUAAGUAAUCCACCUGGGGAGUACGGUCGCAAGAUUGAAACUCAAAGGAAUUGACGGGGGCCCGCACAAGCGGAGGAACAUGUGGUUUAAUUCGAUGAUACGCGAGGAACCUUACCUGGGCUUAAAUGUAAGAUGACAGGCUGGGAAACCAGCUCUCCUUCGGGCAACUUACAAGGUGCUGCAUGGCUGUCGUCAGCUCGUGCCGUGAGGUGUCGGGUUAAGUCCCAUAACGAGCGCAACCCCUAUCCUUAGUUGCCAGCGGAUAAUGCCGGGGACUCUAAGGAAACUGCCCGCGCAAGCGGUGAGGAAGGUGGGGAUGACGUCAAGUCAGCACGGCCCUUACGUCCAGGGCCACACACGUGUUACAAUGGCCGGUACAGAGGGCAGCUACCUGGUGACAGGAUGCGAAUCUCUAAAGCCGGUCUCAGUUCGGAUCGAAGUCUGCGACUCGACUUCGUGAAGUUGGAUUCGCUAGUAAUCGCGCAUCAGCCUCGCGUCUGUAUCGCCGCG